GUUGCUACCGCCAUGUUGUCUUGUUCUGCUUUGUCCUCUACCCACCUAUAUCAAUGUCCGGUGAACGCUCCGUUCUUUUUGGUGCUUCUUUCGUGUUCUUCGUUUUAAAGUUCUCCUUCCACGUACGUCCGAGUUUUCGUGAGUAACCUGCAGUGCGAUAAACGUUUGAACAAGACAACGAGAUCGCUAGUAUUCUUGCGGGACAGCGUGAAAAUUAAGAAUCUGAGAGGAGGCGGAGGAUCGGGGGACAAUUGGCAACGGCGGAACAAUCCUAUGGUCAACGUGGCGUAACGAUUUCGUUGUUGUGCGUCGUGAUAUUGGUGGUCGAGCUCCGUGAACGAAGAUAUCUGGUUACCAUUGCGAACGAAGGGUUAUCCCGAAACGGGGGCGGAGGAGCAGCAACGGAAUCCGAUGACGAAAAUAUGUUGGCUAUCAGCGACGAGAAGACGUUCCCGUUGCAAACCCCGUCGAGGAACAUUCGCUGAAGGAGCUCGCCGAUGUCGAGAGCAGUAUCUCACGACGAGCAAGAUCGCCGAAAUGAGGGCGACUACCGAGUGCGUUUUGGGUGCCCUGGUAUAGCAGAGAGGAUGCGAGUUUCAACUGGGAGAGCGACUUGUAGGAUGGUGAAGGAGCACCUCUGGCGAAGAAACCAAAAUGCAGCAAGAUUGGUGUAGAAAGAAAAGUUUAAAGCUAAUUUCACAGUGGCAAUGUGUUCUUCAAAAAAAGUUGAUUUCUGUGGAUCUGUACAACAGAUC
rnacentral:lncRNA from 13 species